rnacentral:rRNA from 1 species
ACUCCUACGGGAGGCAGCAGUGGGGAAUCUUGCGCAAUGGGCGAAAGCCUGACGCAGCCAUGCCGCGUGAAUGAUGAAGGUCUUAGGAUUGUAAAAUUCUUUCACCGGGGACGAUAAUGACGGUACCCGGAGAAGAAGCCCCGGCUAACUUCGUGCCAGCAGCCGCGGUAAUACGAAGGGGGCUAGCGUUGCUCGGAAUUACUGGGCGUAAAGCGCAUGCAGGUGGUUUGUUAAGUCAGAUGUGAAAGCCCGGGGCUUAACCUCGGAAUUGCAUUUGAAACUGGCAGGCUAGAGUCUUGUAGAGGGGGGUAGAAUUUCAGGUGUAGCGGUGAAAAUGCGUAGAGAUCUGAAGGAAUACCAGUGGCGAAGGCGGCCCCCUGGACAAAGACUGACGCUCAGAUGCGAAAGCGUGGGGAGCAAAGCAGGAUUAGAUACCCUGGUAGCGAGUAG